AGGACAGUAUGGUGAGUGGGGGGGGGCAUAGCAAGGCAGAUGGAGUCUAGGUAGGCAUGAUGAGGUGGGCGGGGCAUGAGGAAGAGGGUGGGGCAUGAUGAGGUAGGUGUGGUAUGACAAGGCAGGUGGAGUCUAAGUGGGCAGGGUGUGAUGAGGUGGGAGGGGCAUGAGGAAGUGGGUGGGGCAUGACAAGGCAGGUGGAGUCUAGGUGGGCAAGGCAUGAUGAGGUGGGAGGGGCAUGAGGAAGUGGGUGGGGCAUGACAAGGCAGG